rnacentral:rRNA from 1 species
GCYUUAAAKCCACAUANNYYUGUGAACCCAAUGUAAGGGCCCGUAACAAGGCCCCUACGUCUUUAUCAUCAACCCAUCGCANGNCUCAUAGAAUGUCAUUCAAUAUCUUCGCCUUAACAAAGCGUCGGUAAACUUAUACAACUUUCAACAACGGAUCUCUUGGCUCUCGCAUCGAUGAAGAACGCAGCGAAAUGCGAUAAGUAAUGUGAAUUGCAGAUUUUCAGUGAAUCAUCGAAUCUUUGAACGCACCUUGCGCCCCUUGGUAUUCCGAGGGGCAUGCCUGUUUGAGUGUCAUUAAAUUCUCAACUCCAUUUGAUUUGUUUCAAACCUGGAGCUUGGACUUGGAGUGUGCUGGCGUUGACCGUCGGCUCCUCUCAAAUGCAUCGGCGGAAUUGAACCUUUGACUUUCGAACGUCAGUGUGAUAAUCAACGUUGCGCUGUCGACCGGGGUCGGAGCCCGCUUACAAUCGUCCUCGGGACAACUUAUCAAAUUUGACCUCAAAUCAGGUAGGACUACCCGCUGAACUUAAGCAUAUCAAUAAGCGGAGGA